GUUUUGAGAAAAGCGGCCAGACUCAACUGGGAAUAGAUGGUUGCCGGCGCGGAAAUGCAGCAUACUUAAUCGUAGUGAUUGAGGUGAUAGGUGUAUUCAAGGCUUCGACAUUGUAUGUAUCAGGUGUACCAUGUUCAUCCGGGUCUGGUGGCAAUAUAUCUGGGUGUAUAGUUGCGUACACAAGGUGGCGCGUUUUCAGCAGAGUCCGUGUCGCUGUAUGAAGAAAGCGGAAGUGUUUGAUGAACAUGUUCACAACGGGUUUUAGACGAGGAGCAUGGCAAAAAUACACAAUUG